GAGUUUGAUCAUGGCUCAGGAUGAACGCUAGCUACAGGCUUAACACAUGCAAGUCGAGGGGCAGCAUGGAAGUUUGCUUGCAAACUUCCGAUGGCGACCGGCGCACGGGUGAGUAACACGUAUCCAACCUGCCGAUAACUCGGGGAUAGCCUUUCGAAAGAAAGAUUAAUAUCCGAUAGCAUAUCAAGGUCGCAUGAUCCUGAUAUUAAAGAAUUUCGGUUAUCGAUGGGGAUGCGUUCCAUUAGUUAGUUGGCGGGGUAACGGCCCACCAAGACGACGAUGGAUAGGGGUUCUGAGAGGAAGGUCCCCCACAUUGGAACUGAGACACGGUCCAAACUCCUACGGGAGGCAGCAGUGAGGAAUAUUGGUCAAUGGACGAGAGUCUGAACCAGCCAAGUAGCGUGAAGGAUGACUGCCCUAUGGGUUGUAAACUUCUUUUAUAUGGGAAUAAAACAGGGUAUGCAUACCCUCUUGUAUGUACCAUAUGAAUAAGGAUCGGCUAACUCCGUGCCAGCAGCCGCGGUAAUACGGAGGAUCCGAGCGUUAUCCGGAUUUAUUGGGUUUAAAGGGAGCGUAGGUGGAUUGUUAAGUCAGUUGUGAAAGUUUGCGGCUCAACCGUAAAAUUGCAGUUGAAACUGGCAGUCUUGAGUACAGUAGAGGUGGGCGGAAUUCGUGGUGUAGCGGUGAAAUGCUUAGAUAUCACGAAGAACUCCGAUUGCGAAGGCAGCUCACUAGACUGCAACUGACACUGAUGCUCGAAAGUGUGGGUAUCAAACAGGAUUAGAUACCCUGGUAGUCCACACAGUAAACGAUGAAUACUCGCUGUUUGCGAUAUACAGUAAGCGGCCAAGCGAAAGCAUUAAGUAUUCCACCUGGGGAGUACGCCGGCAACGGUGAAACUCAAAGGAAUUGACGG
rnacentral:rRNA from 1 species